rnacentral:rRNA from 1 species
GAGUUUGAUCAUGGCUCAGAUUGAACGCUGGCGGCAGGCCUAACACAUGCAAGUCGAGCGGUAGAGAGAAGCUUGCUUCUCUUGAGAGCGGCGGACGGGUGAGUAAUGCCUAGGAAUCUGCCUGGUAGUGGGGGAUAACGCUCGGAAACGGACGCUAAUACCGCAUACGUCCUACGGGAGAAAGCAGGGGACCUUCGGGCCUUGCGCUAUCAGAUGAGCCUAGGUCGGAUUAGCUAGUUGGUGAGGUAAUGGCUCACCAAGGCGACGAUCCGUAACUGGUCUGAGAGGAUGAUCAGUCACACUGGAACUGAGACACGGUCCAGACUCCUACGGGAGGCAGCAGUGGGGAAUAUUGGACAAUGGGCGAAAGCCUGAUCCAGCCAUGCCGCGUGUGUGAAGAAGGUCUUCGGAUUGUAAAGCACUUUAAGUUGGGAGGAAGGGCAGUAAAUUAAUAACUUUGCUGUUUUGACGUUACCGACAGAAUAAGCACCGGCUAACUCUGUGCCAG